rnacentral:rRNA from 1 species
UAGGGAAUCUUCCACAAUGGGCGAAAGCCUGAUGGAGCGACGCCGCGUGUGUGAUGAAGGCUUUAGGGUCGUAAAGCACUGUUGUAUGGGAAGAAAUGCUAGAAUAGGGAAUGAUUCUAGUUCGACGGUACCAUACCAGAAAGGGACGGCUAAAUACGUGCCAGCAGCCGCGGUAAUACGUAUGUCCCGAGCGUUAUCCGGAUUUAUUGGGCGUAAAGCGAGCGCAGACGGUUGAUUAAGUCUGAUGUGAAAGCCCGGAGCUCAACUCCGGAAUGGCAUUGGAAACUGGUUAACUUGAGUGUUGUAGAGGUAAGUGGAACUCCAUGUGUAGCGGUGGAAUGCGUAGAUAUAUGGAAGAACACCAGUGGCGAAGGCGGCUUACUGGACAACAACUGACGUUGAGGCUCGAAAGUGUGGGUAGCAAACAGGAUUAGAUACCCUGGUAGUCCACACCGUAAACGAUGAAUACUAGGUGUUAGGAGGUUUCCGCCUCUUAGUGCCGAAGCUAACGCAUUAAGUAUUCCGCCUGGGGAGUACGACCGCAAGGUUG